UGGGGAAUAUUGGACAAUGGGGGCAACCCUGAUCCAGCAAUGCCGCGUGUGUGAAGAAGGUCUUCGGAUUGUAAAGCACUUUCGACGGGGACGAUGAUGACGGUACCCGUAGAAGAAGCCCCGGCUAACUUCGUGCCAGCAGCCGCGGUAAUACGAAGGGGGCUAGCGUUGCUCGGAAUGACUGGGCGUAAAGGGCGUGUAGGCGGUUUACACAGUCAGAUGUGAAAUCCCCGGGCUUAACCUGGGAGCUGC
rnacentral:rRNA from 1 species